GGAUUAGAAACCCGGGUAGUCCACGCCCUAAACGAUGAUAACUCGAUGUUGGCGAUAUACAGUCAGCGUCCAAGCGAAAGCGUUAAGUUAUCCACCUGGGGAGUACGCCCGCAAGGGUGAAACUCAAAGGAAUUGACGGGGGCCCGCACAAGCGGAGGAGCAUGUGGUUUAAUUCGAUGAUACGCGAGGAACCUUACCCGGGCUUGAAAGUUACUGAAGGGAUCAGAGAUGAUUCCGUCCUUGGGACAGGAAACUAGGUGCUGCAUGGCUGUCGUCAGCUCGUGCCGUGAGGUGUUGGGUUAAGUCCCGCAACGAGCGCAACCCC
rnacentral:rRNA from 1 species